GACGAACGCUGGCGGCGUGCCUAAUACAUGCAAGUCGAACGCUUCUUUCCUCCCGAGUGCUUGCACUCAAUUGGAAAGAGGAGUGGCCGACGGGUGAGUAACACGUGGGUAACCUACCCAUCAGAGGGGGAUAACACUUGGAAACAGGUGCUAAUACCGCAUAACAGUUUAUGCCGCAUGGCAUAAGAGUGAAAGGCGCUUUCGGGUGUCGCUGAUGGAUGGACCCGCGGUGCAUUAGCUAGUUGGUGAGGUAACGGCUCACCAAGGCCACGAUGCAUAGCCGACCUGAGAGGGUGAUCGGCCACACUGGGACUGAGACACGGCCCAGACUCCUACGGGAGGCAGCAGUAGGGAAUCUUCGGCAAUGGACGAAAGUCUGACCGAGCAACGCCGCGUGAGUGAAGAAGGUUUUCGGAUCGUAAAACUCUGUUGUUAGAGAAGAACAAGGACGUUAGUAACUGAACGUCCCCUGACGGUAUCUAACCAGAAAGCCACGGCUAACUACGUG
rnacentral:rRNA from 1 species